AUUGAACGCUGGCGGCAGGCCUAACACAUGCAAGUCGAGCGAGCGGCGGACGGGUGAGUAAUGUCUGGGAAACUGCCUGAUGGAGGGGGAUAAAUACUGGAAACGGUAGCUAAUACCGCAUACCAUCAGAUGUGCCAAGAUGGGAUUAGCUAGUAGGUGGGGUAACGGCUCACCUAGGCGACGAUCCCUAGCUGGUCUGAGAGGAUGACCAGCCACACUGUAACGGUGUCACGGUCCAGCCUCCUACGUGUGGCAGAAGUGGGGAAUAUUGCACAAUGGGCGAAAGCCUGAUGCAGCCAUGCCGAGUGGGUGAAGAAGGCCUUAGGGUUGUAAAGCACUUUCAGCGGGGAGGCGUUACCCGCAGAAGAAGCACCGGAUAAAAAAGUGCCAGCAGCCGCGGUAAUAC
rnacentral:rRNA from 1 species